GGGGUGGUAGUUCAGCUGGUUAGAGCACCUGCCUGUCACGCAGGAAGUCGCGGGUUCGAAUCCCGUCCACCCCG
rnacentral:tRNA from 1 species